CCUACCAAGAUUUCAUUGACGUUAUACAGAGGUAAAGGAAAUCCCCCAUACUUAAAAUUCUUAUACAUUAUUUAUGAAUUGAUAAUUACUUAUUGGCAUUCGAAUAGGGCCUACAAGUGGUACGUAACGAAAGGUGGGAUACACGAUACAGACAAGCCGGAUGCGAUGACGGUCCGUACACACUUUCCGUGCCACAAGCAAGGUUUCAAUACCGUUCUUUGUGGAUACUAUGUUUGCCAAUUUCUUAGGAUAAACGGGAGGUACACAACGAACCCUGAUGACGCAAGGAUGAUCCAAUGUGCCAACCAAGCUCUCACCGACAAAGAAAUCCAAAACGUCCAACGUGACAUGUGCCGGUUUAUUAUGCACGAAGUCAUCCACAAGAACGGUAGA